GUUUCGGUGUGUGUGUAACUUAGAUUAUUAGGUGCCACUUAGUCUGCAUACGUAUAAGAGCAUGUUUAGACCAGAGGUGAUAAGAAGGGUCGAACUGUGCUUCUUCCGACCUUGUGCAAAACUUCCAUCCUUGGCUCGGACGUCAGAAAUCUGGGAUAGCUGGUGUGAUCUGAGGUCCGGGUUGGCUGGGGUAGUGCAGGGGUCCCCUGAGCCGAGGGUCUGUAAGCUGAUCCAUUCACCCUGUGACUGGGGAAACUCAGGUGAGGAGAGGACAGACAGACGGACAGGUGUUAGCAUGGCGAUUCAGGUGAGGAGAGGACAGACAGACAGACCGGUGUUGUCAUGGCGAUUCAGGUGAGGAGAGGACAGACAGACAGACCGGUGUUAGAAUGGUGAUGGAAAUUGAUAUUACCAUUAAUUUAUAGACUUACAUUGCAUUGCAAGCAUGUUCUCCUGUGUGUGUGUGUGUGUGUGUGUGUGUG
ensembl:lncRNA